GUGGGGGUAAGUACUCGUUUAGAGGCCAGGCUCGACCACUCCCGAAUACAGAACCCCACAGCUACCUUGCCAAGGUAAGGGUCGCGAGUUCGAGCCUCGUCUCCCGCUCCA
rnacentral:tRNA from 1 species